GGCUAACCACAGGACAUUCCAGCUGUGACUCAUUGCCACUACUGGCGAGCAUUCUGGCUUGGUCCCGCGAAGGAAAUCAUCCCCGGCAGACCAGAUGGGAAAGCAGUGAAUCAAUGAAUCACUUGUGAAGAGAUGGAUGGCCAACAUGAAUCGCUUGCAGCGUGCUGCUAUGACAACCUGCUUCUGUGUGGACACUGAGGCCAUUCCCAAGUGUGGGAGCUUCGAGUGAAGUAAGCGGACUAAAAUGUUGGCUUUAUCAUUUAUCCUUUGUGAGAAGUGCCAAAUGCAUCAGUGACGCCAGCUGCAGACAGAAAGCAAGAGGAAACUCAAGUGUCUUAAGAGAUGAACCAUUAAUUAUAUCUCAGCCUUGUCUUCGCCUGGACCAGCCCCACUCCCAUCCAAUCAUUGGUCCACUUCUGCUGAUUUUACCUCCUCGGUGCUCUCAAAUCCUUCUAUUACAUUGUCCCUCCUCAGCUUGCAAGGACCUGGUGCUCUCUCUCUCUCGCCUGGGCUGCAGCGACCCCCUCACUGGAUCUCCACAGUUACUUUCACCUCCCUUCCAUUUUCCCUUAAAGCCAGAGUCUUUAAAGGCGCCAAUCUGAGCAGGCCAUUUCAGGCUCACACUCCUGAAAGACCUCUUGCUGCUCCAGGGGAGGUCCCUGAAACUCCUCAUGCCCCCUCAGUGCUGGGCUAUGCUCGCUCGCUCACUGGCUCGCAGGGUCCCAUCCACCCAGAAGCCCCACACUCAGCCUCAGCCACACCGAACUUCCUUCAGUUCUGACAAGGAUUUUCUCCUGGGCUCGACUCUAGCCAGGCCUCUCCGAACCUUCUUCCUGACUAGGCCUCAACCUUGGCCUAAAAAAGAGGAGGACUCUGGGCACACGUGCUUUCAUCCACUCACGCCCCCCAUAUUAAAAUACUUAAACACUAACAUGGUUUCUAACAGCUCAAGGUCACAUCCCCAGGAUGACCCCUGCCCCGCUUAAAGUGCCUGCCUGAGAAAAGCUCAAGGCAACCAGAAGAAUUGAUGGUUUGUUCCAGCCACACCUGAGGCUGGGCCCCUGACCACCCUUUCUUAGAACACUUACUAAAAAGGGCUUAUAGGUGUGAAUCCUUCCUCUGUCCCUUUGAGAUGUAUGUGUGCCUCCUAGGACUCAGGAGUAUUUUCUCAAGGAUCUGAGAGCCAUGCCUUUGAAAUGUAAUCUUCAGGAAGGAUGGGACCCUGGCUCCCAGUCUGUGUGGGAGGGCAGAAUCCUAACUCCCAUGGCUGCAGCCAACAGCAUGCUGCAGCUGGCCUGGCCACACUGACACGGACUAACCUUUUGUCAUUUCUCACUUCCCUGAGUGUUCGGGCUGCUGCCCCCUCCCAACUCCCUCAUUCUCCCUUUAAAACGUCCAGUCGCCUCCCUACAAAGCGAAGGGAGUGCGGUUCGUGCUGGAUCCCACUGUAGGAGCACAUGACGGAUUAAACUCUACCU